rnacentral:lncRNA from 1 species
UAGAGAUUCGCGGUUCAACACCCACCCACAGAAACGGUAGUCUGUCCUCCCAUAGUUGAUUUUGUAUUGAACAGCAUUUUAUGGCAGCCAUGGAUGCUACAUCGCUGAUUUGCAUAUGUCACAGCAAGCCGUUUAUUAGGAUAGUAAGUAGAAAAUGCAUUUCCAACGCGCUCUUAAUGUAAUACACAAGCACUCUUGUGGGACACAGGAUAAU